AGCUUUAGGGCUAGCCUCAAGGUGAGAGAUACGGAGGUAGAGCACUGAAUGUCCUAGGGGGUAUUGCACCUACCGAAGACUAUCAAACUCCGAAUGCCGUCAUCUUAUACUUGGGAGUCAGACUGUGGGUGAUAAGAUUCAUAGUCGAAAGGGCAACAGCCCAGAUCGUCAGCUAAGGUCCCUAAAUGUAAGUUAAGUGGUAAAGGAUGUGGGAUUGCACAGACAACCAGGAUGUUGGCUUAGAAGCAGCCACUCAUUCAAAGAGUGCGUAAUAGCUCACUGGUCGAGUGAUCCUGCGCCGAAGAUUUCCGGGGCUAAAACUUACUACCGAAGCUACGGCAUCAGUAAUGAUGGGUAGGGGAGCUUCCCAUACGGGUUGAAGCAUGACCGUAAGGACAUGUGGACAGUAUGGGAGUGAGAAUGUUGGCAUGAGUAGCGAGAUGUGGGUGAGAAUCCCACAGGCCGUAAACCCAAGGUUUCCAGGGGAAGGUUCGUCCGCCCUGGGUUAGUCGGGACCUAAGCUGAGGCCGAAAGGCGUAGGUGAUGGACAACAGGUUGAUAUUCCUGUACUACCGAUAACCGUUUGAGAGAAGGGAUGACACAGUAGGAUAAGCUAAGCACACUGUUGGUUAUGUGUGCCCAAGCAUUGAGGCAGUCAAAGUAGGCAAAUCCGCUUUGAUAAUGCUGGGAUGUGAUGGGGAGCGAAAUUUAGUAGCGAAGUAGCUGAUUUCACACUGUCAAGAAAAGUCUCUAUCGAGGUUAAAGGUACCCGUACCGCAAACCGACACAGGUGGGUGAGGAGAGUAUCCUAAGGCCAGCGAGAGAACUGUUGUUAAGGAACUCGGCAAAAUGACCCCGUAACUUAGGGAUAAGGGGUGCCACCAUCAGGUGGCCGCAGAGAAUAGGCCCAAGCGACUGUUUACCAAAAACAUAGGUUUCUGCUAAGUCGCAAGACGAUGUAUAGGAGCUGACGCCUGCCCGGUGCUGGAAGGUUAAGGGGAUCUGUUAGAGCAAUCGAAGCAGUGAACUUAAGCCCCAGUAAACGGCGGCCGUAACUAUAACGGUCCUAAGGUAGCGAAAUUCCUUGUCGGGUAAGUUCCGACCCGCACGAAAGGCGUAACGAUUUGGGCACUGUCUCAACAACAGACUCGGUGAAAUUGUAAUUCCGGUGAAGAUGCCGGAUACCUGCGACAGGACGGAAAGACCCCAUGGAGCUUUACUGUAGCUUGACAUUGGGUCUUGGUACUACAUGUACAGGAUAGGUGGGAGGCUUUGAAACCAGGACGCCAGUUUUGGCGGAGCCAUCCUUGGGAUACCACCCUUGUAGUACUGGGACUCUAACCAUAGGCCAUGAAUCUGGUCUUGGGACACUGUCAGGUGGGCAGUUUGACUGGGGCGGUCGCCUCCCAAAAGGUAACGGAGGCGCUCAAAGGUUCUCUCAGUACGGUCGGAAAUCGUACGUAGAGUGUAAAGGCAAAAGAGAGCUUGAUUGCAAGACAUACAGGUCGAGCAAGGAUGAAAAUCGGACUUAGUGAUCCGGUGGUUCUGCGUGGAAGGGCCAUCGCUCAACGGAUAAAAGCUACCCUGGGGAUAACAGGCUUAUCUCCCCCAAGAGUCCACAUCGACGGGGAGGUUUGGCACCUCGAUGUCGGCUCAUCACAUCCUGGGGCUGUAGUAGGUCCCAAGGGUUGGGCUGUUCGCCCAUUAAAGUGGUACGCGAGCUGGGUUCAGAACGUCGUGAGACAGUUCGGUCCCUAUCCGUCGCAGGCGUAGGAAAUUUGAGAAGACCUGUCCUUAGUACGAGAGGACCGGGAUGGACGUACCUCUGGUGUACCAGUUGUCCUGCCAAGGGCAUGGCUGGGUAGCUAUGUACGGAAUGGAUAAGCGCUGAAAGCAUCUAAGCGCGAAGCCAACUUCAAGAUAAGAUUUCCCACCGCAAGGGUAAGACCCCAGAAAGACUAUCUGGUUGAUAGGUCGAAGGUGUAAGUGCAGCAAUGUAUUUAGCUUAUCGAUACUAAUAGGUCGAGGACUUGACC
rnacentral:rRNA from 1 species